GACACUGCGCCGAAAAUGUACCGGGGCUAAACAUAUUACCGAAGCUGUGGAUUGUCCUUUGGACAAUGGUAGGAGAGCGUUCUAAGGGCGUUGAAGCAUGAUCGUAAGGACAUGUGGAGCGCUUAGAAGUGAGAAUGCCGGUGUGAGUAGCGAAAGACGGGUGAGAAUCCCGUCCACCGAUUGACUAAGGUUUCCAGAGGAAGGCUCGUCCGCUCUGGGUUAGUCGGGUCCUAAGCUGAGGCCGACAGGCGUAGGCGAUGGAUAACAGGUUGAUAUUCCUGUACCACCUAUAAUCGUUUUAAUCGAUGGGGGGACGCAGUAGGAUAGGCGAAGCGUGCG
rnacentral:rRNA from 1 species